GAAUCCAAAGCUACAGACAAAGCAUUUGGCCCUGUGAACACUGUGUGAUCCUCUGCCCUGUGAAAGAUUUCUCGGAAACUUGGGUCAGAAGUUAAGGGCCUUCAUGUAGUGGAAAAUUGGGGUCCUCCAGAUAACAAGAAGCAGCGAUGUUACAGGACAUACGCUUUUACGCUUUAUUGGCCACUGUUAUCCCCGGACAGAGCACGGGAGCUGAGCAAACAGUCCAGACCCCAAUAUGAAAACCCACCAGCUGUCAAUCGCAUGAAGCCUGGAUUUGAUUGGAGUGCCAUUUUUCUGCCCUUUCCUCUGUGCUCACAGAGAAAGCAACAGCUCUUAAGUCCCUAGGAGAUGCUGCUUGAUUUAAGCCCUGUGAAAUUCUAACCGAAAGGUAAUAGAAAGGAGAAACCAAGCUUAUCAAAUUUUCCUUAGGAGCAUUGGUCUGUUUCACCUGUGGUAAUUGGCUGAGUUCAGGCUUGCACUCUGACAGGCUACAGGAAGU